rnacentral:misc_RNA from 1 species
GAUGAAGAACGUAGCGAAGUGCGAUAAGUAAUGUGAAUUGCAGAAUUCAGUGAAUCAUCGAAUCUUUGAACGCACAUUGCGCCCCUUGGUAUUCCAUGGGGCAUGCCUGUUCGAGCGUCAUUUGUACCCUCAAGCUUUGCUUGGUGUUGGGCGUCUUGUCGUAUUACGACUCGCCUUAAAUACAUUGGCAGCCGGCACUUUGGCCUAGGAGCGCAGCACAUUUUGCGAUCGUAGCCCGUUGUACUGGCGUCCAUCAAGAACAUUUACCACGUUUGACCUCGGAUCAGGUAGGGAUACCCGCUGAACUUAAGCAUAUCAAUAAGCGGAGGA